GCGGGUGUGGCGGAAUGGUAGACGCCGGGGACUUAAAAUCCCCUGUCCAUUGGACGUGUGGGUUCGAGUCCCACCACCCGCACCA
rnacentral:tRNA from 1 species